rnacentral:rRNA from 1 species
GACGAACGCUGGCGGCGUGCUUAACACAUGCAAGUCGAACGGAAAGGCCCUGCUUUUGUGGGGUGCUCGAGUGGCGAACGGGUGAGUAACACGUGAGUAACCUGCCCUUGACUUUGGGAUAACUUCAGGAAACUGGGGCUAAUACCGGAUAGGAGCUCCUGCUGCAUGGUGGGGGUUGGAAAGUUUCGGCGGUUGGGGAUGGACUCGCGGCUUAUCAGCUUGUUGGUGGGGUAGUGGCUUACCAAGGCUUUGACGGGUAGCCGGCCUGAGAGGGUGACCGGCCACAUUGGGACUGAGAUACGGCCCAGACUCCUACGGGAGGCAGCAGUGGGGAAUAUUGCACAAUGGGCGGAAGCCUGAUGCAGCAACGCCGCGUGCGGGAUGACGGCCUUCGGGUUGUAAACCGCUUUCGCCUGUGACGAAGCGUGAGUGACGGUAAUGGGUAAAGAGGCACCGGCUAACUACGUGCCAGCAGCCGCGGUGAUACGUAGGGUGCGAGCGUUGUCCGGAUUUAUUGGGCGUAAAGGGCUCGUAGGUGGUUGAUCGCGUCGGAAGUGUAAUCUUGGGGCUUAACCCUGAGCGUGCUUUCGAUACGGGUUGACUUGAGGAAGGUAGGGGAGAAUGGAAUUCCUGGUGGAGCGGUGGAAUGCGCAGAUAUCAGGAGGAACACCAGUGGCGAAGGCGGUUCUCUGGGCCUUUCCUGACGCUGAGGAGCGAAAGCGUGGGGAGCGAACAGGCUUAGAUACCCUGGUAGUCCACGCUGUAAACGGUGGGUACUAGGUGUGGGGUCCAUUCCACGGGUUCCGUGCCGUAGCUAACGCUUUAAGUACCCCGCCUGGGGAGUACGGCCGCAAGGCUAAAACUCAAAGGAAUUGACGGGGCCCCGCACAAGCGGCGGAGCAUGCGGAUUAAUUCGAUGCAACGCGUAGAACCUUACCUGGGUUUGACAUGGAUCGGGAGCGCUCAGAGAUGGGUGUGCCUCUUUUGGGGUCGGUUCACAGGUGGUGCAUGGCUGUCGUCAGCUCGUGUCGUGAGAUGUUGGGUUAAGUCCCGCAACGAGCGCAACCCUUGUUCACUGUUGCCAGCACGUUAUGGUGGGGACUCAGUGGAGACCGCCGGGGUCAACUCGGAGGAAGGUGGGGAUGACGUCAAGUCAUCAUGCCCCUUAUGUCCAGGGCUUCACGCAUGCUACAAUGGCUGGUACAGAGAGUGGCGAGCCUGUGAGGGUGAGCGAAUCUCGGAAAGCCGGUCUCAGUUCGGAUUGGGGUCCGCAACUCGACCUCAUGAAGUCGGAGUCGCUAGUAAUCGCAGAUCAGCAACGCUGCGGUGAAUACGUUCCCGGG